rnacentral:rRNA from 1 species
AUGGGUAGGCCUAGAGGGAAGGCCAAGAAAUCGGCUGAGGAUGCGAGGGACGACGACGACGGUAGUGGCGGCGAGGAGGCCGCUCCGACCGACCACAAGAGGAACGGCAGUCCUCUGAAGCCUCUGAGGGACGACGGAGCCGACGAAGAAGUGGAGGACAUCGCCAAGGUCGCGGAGGUCGCAGACAGCGUGAAACCGGUCGUGCCAACCGAGGGUGCCGACAGCACGGUUGGGGGUAAAGUUCCUGACGGAGCGAUGAAGAGGCCGCGGCGGCGCCGGCGGCGUCUGCAGGUGAAGCGAAGCUCCGAGUCGGUUGAGGACGUCGGCGACAAAGACGGUGACGACGUGAGGACAAAAUCGAACGGGUUCCGGCGAAACGGAAGCCGCCGGAAGAACUCUACUCCCCGGCGGGCAGCCGAGGCGGGAGUAGUGUGA